rnacentral:rRNA from 1 species
GACGAACGCUGGCGGCGUGCCUAACACAUGCAAGUCGAACGGAACUGUUUUGAAAGAUUUCUUCGGAAUGAAUUUGAUUUAGUUUAGUGGCGGACGGGUGAGUAACGCGUGAGUAACCUGCCUUCAAGAGGGGAAUAACAUUCUGAAAAGAAUGCUAAUACCGCAUGACAUAUCGGAACCACAUGGUUUUGAUAUCAAAGAUUUUAUCGCUUGAAGAUGGACUCGCGUCCGAUUAGUUAGUUGGUGAGGUAACGGCUCACCAAGACCGCGAUCGGUAGCCGGACUGAGAGGUUGAACGGCCACAUUGGGACUGAGACACGGCCCAGACUCCUACGGGAGGCAGCAGUGGGGGAUAUUGCGCAAUGGGGGCAACCCUGACGCAGCAACGCCGCGUGAAGGAUGAAGGUUUUCGGAUUGUAAACUUCUUUUAUUAAGGACGAAAAAUGACGGUACUUAAUGAAUAAGCCCCGGCUAACUACGUG